rnacentral:rRNA from 1 species
UAACAGAGGGGUGCAAGCGUUGUUCGGAAUUAUUGGGCGUAAAGAGCUCGUAGGCGGUGUGUCGCGUCGGCCGUGAAAACCUGGGGCUCAACUCUGGGCGUGCGGUUGAUACGGGCAUCACUUGAGUUCGGCAGGGGGAGACUGGAAUUCCUGGUGGUAAGCGGUGAAAUGCGCAGGAUAUCAGGAGGAACACCGGUGGCGAAGGCGGUCUGCUGGGGGUAAUGCUGACACUGAUGCGCGACAGCGUGGGGAGCAAACAGG